GUGUUGGUAACUCAGUGGUAGAAUUCUCACCUUCCAUGUGGGAGACCUGGGUUCAGUUCCUCGCCAGUGCA
rnacentral:tRNA from 1 species